UUAAAGGGACACUAUAGUCACCUGAAUAACUUUAGCUUAAUGAAGCAGUUUUGGCGUAUAGAACAUGCCCCUGCAGCCCCACUGCUCAAUCCUCUGCCAUUUAGGAGUUAAAUCCCUUUGUUUAUGAACCCUAGUCACACCUCCCUGAAUGUGACUUGCACAGCCUUCCAUAAACACUUCCUGUAAAUAGAGCCCUAUUUAGGCUUUCUUUAUUGCAAGUUCUGUUUAAUUAAGAUUUUCUUAUCCCCUGCUAUGUUAAUAGCUUGCUAGACCCUGCAAGAGCCUCCUGUAUGUGAUUAAAGUUCAAUUUAGAGAUUGAGAUACAAUUAUUUAAGGUAAAUUACAUCUGUUUGAAAGUGAAACCAGUUUUUUU